CCAUGCCGCGUGUGUGAAGAAGGCCUUAUGGUUGUAAAGCACUUUAAGCGAGGAGGAGGCUCUUCUAGUUAAUACCUAGGAUGAGUGGACGUUACUCGCAGAAUAAGCACCGGCUAACUCUGUGCCAGCAGCCGCGGUAAUACAGAGGGUGCGAGCGUUAAUCGGAUUUACUGGGCGUAAAGCGUGCGUAGGCGGCUUUUUAAGUCGGAUGUGAAAUCCCCGAGCUUAACUUGGGAAUUGCAUUCGAUACUGGGAAGCUAGAGUAUGGGAGAGGAUGGUAGAAUUCCAGGUGUAGCGGUGAAAUGCGUAGAGAUCUGGAGGAAUACCGAUGGCGAAGGCAGCCAUCUGGCCUAAUACUGACGCUGAGGUACGAAAGCAUGGGGAGCAAACAGGAUUAGAUACCCUGGUAGUCCAUGCCGUAAACGAUGUCUACUAGCCGUUGGGGCCUUUGAGGCUUUAGUGGCGCAGCUAACGCGAUAAGUAGACCGCCUGGGGAGUACGGUCGCAAGACUAAAACUCAAAUGAAUUGACGGGGGCCCGCACAAGCGGUGGAGCAUGUGGUUUAAUUCGAUGCAACGCGAAGAACCUUACCUGGUCU
rnacentral:rRNA from 1 species